GACGAACGCUGGCGGCGUGCUUAACACAUGCAAGUCGAACGGAAAGGCCCUGCUUUUGUGGGGUGCUCGAGUCGCGAACGUGUGAGUAACACGUGAGUAACCUGCCCUUGACUUUGGGAUAACUUCAGAAAACUGGGGCUAAUACCGGAUAGGCACUCCUGCUGCAUGGUGGGGGUUGGAAAGUUUCGGCGGUUGGGGAUGGACUCGCGGCUUAUCAGCUUGUUGGUGGGGUAGUGGCUUACCAAGGCUUUGACGGGUAGCCGGCCUGAGAGGGUGACCGGCCACAUUGGGACUGAGAUACGGCCCAGACUCCUACGGGAGGCAGCAGUGGGGAAUAUUGCACAAUGGGCGGAAGCCUGAUGCAGCAACGCCGCGUGCGGGAUGACGGCCUUCGGGUUGUAAACCGCUUUCGCCUGUGACGAAGCGUGAGUGACGGUAAUGGGUAAAGAAGCACCGGCUAACUACGUG
rnacentral:rRNA from 1 species